UUUUUAGGAUAAAUACGUCCCAUUCAAUAUUUGGGAUAUACUUAACCUAAAA
rnacentral:pre_miRNA from 1 species